rnacentral:rRNA from 1 species
UGAUUGUCUCAAAGAUUAAGCCAUGCAUGUCUAAGUGUAAACAAAUUUAUACAGUGAAACUGCGAAUGGCUCAUUAAAUCAGUUAUAGUUUAUUUGAUGGUUCCUUGCUACAUGGAUAACUGUGGUAAUUCUAGAGCUAAUACAUGCUGAAAAGCCCCGACUGGCAACGGAAGGGGUGUAUUUAUUAGAUACAAAAUCAACGCUUCUUUUAGCAGCGCUUGGUGAAUCAUGAUAACUUGUCGAAUCGCACGGCCUCGAGCUGGCGAUGCUUCAUUCAAAUAUCUGCCCUAUCAACUUUCGAUGGUAAGGUAGUGGCUUACCAUGGUGACGACGGGUAACGGGAAAUAAGGGUUUGGUUCCGGAGAGAGGCCUGAGAAACGGCCCUCAGAUCUAAGGAGUGCAGCAGGCGCGCAAAUUAUCCCAUCCGAUUCGGGGAGAUAGUGACAAUAAAUAACAAUGUAGGGCUCUUUUGGGUCUUGCAAUUGGAAUGAGUACAAUUUAAAUCCCUUAACGAGGAUCAAUUGGAGGGCAAGUCUGGUGCCAGCAGCCGCGUAAUUCCAGCUCCAAUAGCGUAUAUUAAAGUUGUUGCCGUUAAAAAGCUCGUAGUCGAACUUCGACUCGGACGAGCCGGUCCGCGUCUUUUGUACGUGUGUACUGGUCACUCGUCCGGGUUUACCUCUUGGUGGGCGCCGAUGUCCUUCAGUGCGUCUUGUCGGUUUGCUCCGCUCAGACGUUUACUUUGAAAAAAUCAGAGUGUUCAAAGCAGGCCGAUUUAGUGCCCGAAUACAUUAGCAUGGAAUAAUAGAAUAGGACAGCGUCUCUGUUUUGUUGGUUGCCUUGGAGAUGCCGUAAUGAUGAAUAGGGGCAGUUGGGGGCAUUCGUAUUCCGUUGCUAGAGGUGAAAUUCUUGGAUUGACGGAAGACGGACUACUGCGAAAGCAUCUGCCAAGGAUGCUCUCAUUGAUCAAGAACGAAGGUCGGGGGAUCGAAAACGAUUAGAUACCGUUGUAGUCUCGACAGUAAACGAUGCCGACUGGGGAUCAGUGCAGGUUUUAUUGAUAUGACUGCAUUGGCACCCAAAGAGAAAUCUUUAAGUCUAGGUUCGGGGGGGAGUACGAUCGCAAGGUUGAAACUUAAAGGAAUUGACGGAAGGGCACCACAAGGUGUGGAGCCUGCGGCUUAAUUUGACUCAACACGGGGAAACUCACCAGGUCCAGACACAAAAAGGAUUGACAGAUUGAUAGCUCUUUCUUGAUCUUGUGGUUGGUGGUGCAUGGCCGUUCUUAGUUGGUGGAGUGAUUUGUCUGGUUAAUUCCGAUAACGAACGAGACCUUGACCUGCUAAAUAGACCCGUCGGCCUUGUGCUGACGUUUGGUUCUUCUUAGAGGGACUGACAUCGUUUAGGUGUCGGAAGUUUGAGGCAAUAACAGGUCUGUGAUGCCCUUAGAUGUUCUGGGCCGCACGCGCGCUACACUGACUGAUCCAGCGAGUUAUUUUACAUAAUCCUUGGCCGGAAGGCUUGGGUAAUCUUGUGAAACUCAGUCGUGAUGGGGAUAGAGCAUUGCAAUUAUUGCUCUUCAACGAGGAAUACCUAGUAAGCGUUUGUCAUCAGCAAGCGUUGAUUACGUCCCUUUGUACACACCGCCCGUCGCUACUACCGAUUGAAUGGCUUAGUGAGGUCUCCGGAUCGGCUUUGCGGACGGGCGACUGCACUGCUUGGCUGAAAAGUUGAACGAACUUGGUCAUUUAGAGGAAGUAAAAGUCGUAACAAGGUUUUCGUA